AUAAAUAAAUAAAUGUAAAAAAAACCCCAAGGGCACGGUUCCCCAUUACACUUGGGACUUGCUGAUUCACCCAUGAUUCUCCCCAGUGUGGGAAUUCGACUGUGAUUUGUGGUACUUGGGGACUGCGUUUAUGCUUUCCCCUA
rnacentral:snRNA from 1 species